rnacentral:rRNA from 1 species
AGUGAACGCUGGCGGUAGGCCUAACACAUGCAAGUCGAACGGCAGCACAGUAAGAGCUUGCUCUUACGGGUGGCGAGUGGCGGACGGGUGAGGAAUACAUCGGAAUCUACUUUUUCGUGGGGGAUAACGUAGGGAAACUUACGCUAAUACCGCAUACGACCUACGGGUGAAAGCAGGGGAUCUUCGGACCUUGCGCGAUUGAAUGAGCCGAUGUCGGAUUAGCUAGUUGGCGGGGUAAAGGCCCACCAAGGCGACGAUCCGUAGCUGGUCUGAGAGGAUGAUCAGCCACACUGGAACUGAGACACGGUCCAGACUCCUACGGGAGGCAGCAGUGGGGAAUAUUGGACAAUGGGCGCAAGCCUGAUCCAGCCAUACCGCGUGGGUGAAGAGGGCCUUCGGGUUGUAAAGCCCUUUUGUUGGGAAAGAAAAGCAGCAGGUUAAUACCCCGCUGUUCUGACGGUACCCAAAGAAUAAGUACCGGCUAACUUCGU